GAACGCUGGCGGCAGGCUUAACACAUGCAAGUCGAACGCCCGAGCAAUCGGGAGUGGCAGACGGGUGAGUAACACGUGGGAACAUACCCUCAGGUUCGGAACAACGCCGGGAAACUGGCGCUAAUACCGGAUACGCCCUGUGAAGGGGAAAGGCUUGCUGCCUGAGGAGUGGCCCGCGUUCGAUUAGCUAGAUGGCGGGGUAACGGCCCACCAUGGCGACGAUCGAUAGCUGGUCUGAGAGGAUGGCCAGCCACAUUGGGACUGAGACACGGCCCAAACUCCUACGGGAGGCAGCAGUGGGGAAUAUUGGACAAUGGGCGCAAGCCUGAUCCAGCCAUGCCGCGUGAGUGAUGAAGGCCUUAGGGUUGUAAAGCUCUUUCGCACGCGACGAUAAUGACGGUAGCGUGAGAAGAAGCCCCGGCUAACUUCGUGCCAGCAGCCGCGGUAAUACGAAGGGGGCUAGCGUUGUUCGGAAUCACUGGGCGUAAAGGGCGCGUAGGCGGUCUUUUAAGUCGGGGGUGAAAGCCUGUGGCUCAACCACAGAAUUGCCUUCGAUACUGGGAGACUUGAGUUCGGAAGAGGUUGGUGGAAC
rnacentral:rRNA from 1 species